UUAGUUGUCCAGGCGGCGCUUCUUUUUACCAUUCAAAGAAUAAGGCUGCAACCCCCCAACACACACACAAGGCACAACCACCAGAGGGCGCUGCAUGAACCAUUGAACUAGUCACUAAUAUAACAGAGGAGAGAGCAGCUGGGAAGGAAAGUGAAUAGCCCAUCCUGUGUUUGUUGUGAAUGGUGUGCGUCACAUAAAAGACCAACACCACAUGACCCCUCUACGUCCUCCUACACUGUGCCAUAUCUCCCUGUACCAUCAAUCUGAGUGCAAGUAAACUUUACAUAAAUCUUUGAUCUGUAGCAGUGUGACUCUGCAGUGCUGUACUGUAUGUUUGUGAGUUUCCUCCCCAACAAACACAAUAAUGAGGAUGAAACAUUUGCACCAUCAAAUUCAAACUUUACUCAACUCGUUCUUCUUGCUUCCUCUACUUCCGUACUAUUGAUUCAUUAAUGUUGAAUUCUCUCACAGCUGCUUUCUUCCAUGUUCUGGGCUUGAUCUUGGGUUUUAUUUUAUGAUACUGGAUUUAUUUUCUACGGAGGUUUGAACUUUGAGGGUGUUUAAACAAGAGAGAAAAGUGUAAAAAUUCAUGUCUGUCUCAGAAAAGUGUAUAAACUGUGUAUUCAGCGGUUAUACAGCCCUAAAACAUCUAUGAUAAUUGUAAGAAAAAAAGCUGACUACUUUGCAGAUUUCACCUAUUUUUAUUUUUAGAACAUAACUCCCACGAUAAACAAGGGUCCACUGUAUCAGUAUGUUAAACAUUUACCCAAUAAACUUAAAUUGCAUGUAACUUAGUUAAAAUAUAUAGUUCAGUUAAGUAUUAUUCACACGUAUAUCAUACAAUUUUGCCACUUCCUGUAUGAGCACCUGUUGAUGCAUACUGCUUGUUAUAAAAUUGAAUAAUUUUCAUUAAUGUGCCAUGUUUGACCGCGUUGUGACCUAUUGAGAAAAGGCAAAGGGUUUUUCAAAGGUUGCCCCUCUGCAGAUGGCCCUUAGUGAGAGUCCUGACCAGCCCCUGGCAGGACCUUGGCCUGUACCUGACCCUGCACCUGCUGUUUCUCGCUGGAGGACAAGUGGAAAGUUACCCAGCAGCAGGGGCAGUUAACGGCCACCAUAGAGAGAGGAUCCACCAGGGCUGUUGUCCUUCUCUCCGUGUCUGUGUGGCUUUGCUGUUUGUGCUUAAUGCUCUACCUUGCUUGCUUUUUUUAGUGAACUGAUGUUAAUCACAUCUAAAUAAGCUGGAUCUCCACAUCACCGGUUGGAUAAGGUUAUCAUGCUGGCUUCAAAAUUUGCGAGUCCACACAGUUUAUAUUAAUCAGUUUAUUUUGUACCUUGUGGUUCAAAUGUGUCAAAUAUCAACACUGAAUGUACCUGCAGAUGUUUUUGAUCACAUCGUACUCACUGAAAGUCCUUACAAACAUUAGAGCUAAUCACUUAGAACUGCCAGGAGAUGUCAUUUUGAGCCAUCACUCCUUUGUCUCCCUACACUCAAUACUCCAAGCCCAUCAUGUCUGAUGUUUCCCUGAUGUCCCCUUAAUGUCACGAUGUAGC